rnacentral:rRNA from 1 species
AUUGAACGCUGGCGGCAGGCCUAACACAUGCAAGUCGAGCGAGCGGCGGACGGGUGAGUAAUGUAUGGGGACUGCCCGAUAGAGGGGGAUAACUACGGGAAACGGUAGCUAAUACCGCAUACUAUCGGAUAACCCAUAUGGGAUUAGCUAGUAGGUGAGGUAAUGGCUCACCUAGGCGACGAUCCCUAGCUGGUCUGAGAGGAUGAUCAGACACCCUGGGAUUGCGACGCGGCCCAGACUCCUACGGAGGCAGCAGUGGGGAAUAUUGCAAAAUGGGCGCAAGCCUGAUGGAGCCAUGCCGCGUGUAUGAAGAAGGCCCUAGGGUUGUAAAGUACUUUCGGUCGGGAGGCGUUACCUACAGAAGAAGCACCGGCUAACUCCGUGCCAGCCGCCGCGGUAAUUC